ACGGGGUGCAGCAGGCGCGAAACCUUUGCAAUACACGCAAGUGUGACAGGGUCAUCCCGAGUGCCGACCGCUGAGGUUGGCUUUUACCCAGUCUAGAAAGCUGGGGGAAUAAGGAGAGGGCAAGUCUGGUGUCAGCCGCCGCGGUAAUACCAGCUCUCCGAGUGGUGUGGACGUUUAUUGGGCCUAAAGCAUCCGUAGCUGGCUGAACAAGUCCCCUGUUAAACCCACCGAUUUAAUCGUUGGCUUGCGGGGGAAACUGCUCGGCUAGGGGACGAGAGAGGCAGACGGUAUUCCCGGGGUAGGGGUGAAAUCCUAUAAUCCCGGGAAGACCACCAGUGGCGAAGGCUGUCUGCUAGAACGCGCCCGACGGUGAGGGAUGAAAGCUGGGGGAGCGAACCGGAUUAGAUACCCGGGUAGUCCCAGCUGUAAACGAUGCACGCUAGGUGUUUGGUCGGCCACACGCCGCCCCAGUGCCGCAGGGAAGCCGUUAAGCGUGCCGCCUGGGGAGUACGGCCGCCAGGCUGAAACUUAAAGGAAUUGGCGGGGGAGCAC
rnacentral:rRNA from 1 species